CUCCUUUGCAUACCCCCUGUCUUCCCUUUGUCCUAACUUUUAAAGGGCCAGACUCUCUGUACGUCAUCAGUUGAUAACCCAAUAGAAGCACUAGAGGUGUGGUUAUCUUCCAGAUCGCAAUUUAGUUAUUUGGUCUACAGAGGGCAGUCUUGUCCCACUAAACAUACCUAUCCAGGAAAGAGUUAACUUUUCUUGGUGGCUAUUUUGAAGUAAUUUUGGCCUAUCUUUAUAGUGCCAUAACUUACAUUUUUGCUGUCAGAUCAAACAGCUUCUUUAAGUUUUGUCCAGACUUAGUGUCCGCAAUUCCUGCUAUAAUUUCUAAAAUGGCAGAUCAUGAACUAAGUUUAACCUUAAACUUACAAUGGUACCUUAC